rnacentral:rRNA from 1 species
UGAAGUAAGUAAGGGCGUACGGUGAAUGCCUUGGUGCCAACAGGCGAAGAAGGACGCGGCAAGCUGCGAAAAUCCUCGGGAAGCUGCAAGCAAGCGAUGAUCCGGGGGUAUCCGAAUGGGGUAACCUGAUCGAGGCAAUACUCGAUCGUUCAUACCUGAAUACAUAGGGUAUGAAACGCGAAACCCGCUGAAGUGAAACAUCUCAGUAAGCGGAGGAAAAGAAAGAGAAAUCGAUUCCGUAAGUAGUGGCGAGCGAAAGCGGAUGGAGCCCAAACCGAAGGUACUCCUUCGGGGUUGUAGGACCACGAGAUAUUCGACCAUACUGGAUAGUAGAACAGCCUGGAAAGGCUGGCCGUAGAAGGUGAAAGCCCUGUAGACGAAAUCCAGCGUGGGAAUUAGUGGAAUCCUGAGUAAUACAUCACACGUGGAACGAUGUAUGAAUCAGCGCGGACCACCGCGCAAGGCUAAAUACUAGUUGGCGACCGAUAGUGAACAAGUACCGCGAGGGAAAGGUGAAAAGAACCGCUGUGAGCGGAGUGAAAUAGAACCUGAAACCGUAUGUCUACAAAGUGUCAGAGCAGAGCAAUCUGCGAUGGCGUGCCUUUUGUUUAAUGAGUCUGCGAGUCAGUGUUUGUGGCAAGACUAAGGGCUUCCGGCCCGGAGUCGCAGCGAAAGCAAGUCCGAAUAGGGCGAAUUAAGUCGCAGGUACUGGACCCGAAGCGGAGGUGACCUACCCUUGGCCAGGUUGAAGCAUGGGUAAAACCAUGUGGAGGACCGAACAGGUGAACGUUGAAAAGUUCUCUGAUGAGCUGAGGGUAGGAGUGAAAGGCUAAUCAAACCCCGUGAUAGCUGGUUCUCUUCGAAAUGCAUUUAGGUGCAGCGUCACGUGCUGAUGCGCGGGGGUAGAGCACUGACAAGGCUAGGGGGCACACCCGCUUACCAAACCUUAUCAAACUCCGAAUACCGUGCAAUGGAACGUGGCAGUGAGACAGUGGGGGAUAAGCUUCAUUGUCGAGAGGGAAACAACCCAGACCAGCAGCUAAGGUGCCUAAAUAACGCUCAGUGGAAAGGAUGUGGGAUUACACAGACAGUGAGGAUGUUGGCUUAGAAGCAGCCACCAUUUAAAAAAUGCGUAAUAGCUUACUCAUCGAGUGAUCCUGCGCCGAAAAUGAUUGGCGAUCAAGCGUUAUACCGAAGCUCUGGACUUUACCUUACGGUAGAGUGGUAGAAGAGCGUUGCAUGCGCGUUGAAGGGUGAUGGCGACUGACCCUGGAGCACAUGCAAGUGAGUAUGCAGACAUGAGUAACGUAAAGCCGGGUGAAAUCCCCGGCCGCCGUAAACCCGAGGUUUCCAGGGCAACGUGUUUCGUCCCUGGGUUAGCCGGGACCUAAGCCGAGGCCGAGAGGCGUAGGCGAUGGAUAUCAGGUUAAUAAUCCUGAGCUCGCGACCCUUAAACUGGGGGGACGCAUGAGAAAAGAUGACUAGGUUAUUGAAUUCCGAGUUGAGUCCACGGACUCAGCGCAUCAUUGGAUCGAGUGCCAAGAAAAGCCCCAGCGUAUGCUAAGCGACCCGUACCGCAAACCGACACAGGUGGGUGGGUAGAAUAUACCAAGGCGUAAGAGUGAAACCUGGUUAAGGAACUCGGCAAAUUAGCCCCGUAACUUCGGAAGAAGGGGUGCCUGCAGCGAUGCAGGCCGCAGAGAAAUGGCCCAACCGACUGUUUAUCAAAAACACAGCACUCUGCAAAGACGCAAGUCGAAGUAUAGGGUGUGACACGUGACCAAUGCCGAAAGAUUAAGGCAAGGGGUUAGCCGCAAGGCGAAGCUCUGAACCCAAGUCCCGGUGAAUGUCGGCCGUAACUAUAACGGUCCUAAGGUAGCGAAAUUCCUUGUCGGGUAAGUUCCGACCUGCACGAAUC